AGUGAACGCUGGCGGUAGGCCUAACACAUGCAAGUCGAACGGCAGCACAGUAGAGCUUGCUCGCUAGGUGGCGAGUGGCGGGCGGGUGAGGAAUACAUAGCAAUCUGCCCAGUUGUGGGGGAUAACGUAGGGAAACUUAUACUAAUACCGCAGACGACCUUCGGGUGAGAGAGGGGGAUCGCAAGACCUCUCGCGGGUGGGUGAGCGCAUGUCGGAUUAGCUAGUUAGCGGGGUAAUGGCCCACCAAGGCGACGAUCCGUAGCUGGUCUGAGAGGAUGAUCAGCCACACUGGAACUGAGACACGGUCCAGACUCCUACGGGAGGCAGCAGUGGGGAAUAUUGGACAAUGGGCGCAAGCCUGAUCCAGCCAUACCGCGUGGGUGAAGAAGGCCUUCGGGUUGUAAAGCCCUUUUGUUGGGAAAGAAAUCCUUCAGGCUAAUACCCUGGGAGGAUGACGGUACCCAAAGAAUAAGCACCGGCUAACUUCGUG
rnacentral:rRNA from 1 species